UACAGGGGGUGCAAACGUUGCUCGGAAUCAUUGGGCGUAAAGCGUCCGCAGGUGGCAGUUCAAGUCUGCUGUCAAAGACCGGGGCUUAACUUCGGAAAGGCAGUGGAAACUGAACAGCUAGAGUAUGGUAGGGGCAGAGGGAAUUCCUGGUGUAGCGGUGAAAUGCGUAGAGAUCAGGAAGAACAUCGGUGGCGAAGGCGCUCUGCUGGACCAUAACUGACACUCAGGGACGAAAGCUAGGGGAGCGAAUGGG
rnacentral:rRNA from 1 species